GCCGCAGCGAAGGGAAGGAGGGCGGUGUCGGAGGCAGCCAGGGGUGUGCGCGGGGCUCCCGAGGCUAGCGCCGUCUCUUCCCUCAGCACCCGGCACCGAGACUAAGGUGGGAGAAGCUGAGGGUGGCGGAGCCGGAACCGCAGAAGCGUCUGGGACCUUUCACACGCAGCGCCCCGACUCCCAYAGCUGCCGCCGCCGCAGCCCAACCUGCUGAGUGCGCGAGCCUCUGGCGCGGCGCGGGGCGAGCCCGGGCGCGAGCCAGUCGCCCAGCCGGCCGCCGGCGUGCGUGCGUGAAUGCGUGCGCGCCACCGCCAGCACCUUCCUGGUGUAGCGGCUCUUUCAGCUCCUCCCGCACCGCAGAGACUAGGGCUGGCAGGACUUCGACUGGCGUCGGGAGAAGCAAAGAGGCGGGGCAAGUCAGGGAGUUUCGUAACUACCAGAAACAGGGCCUGCUCAUUUUGGAGAUGAGGAAACUGAAGCCCAGAAGGUGGAAAUGACUUGCAAAAUCCACAAAGCUAUGAAAUAGAACCUAGGUUUUCUCUUGUGAACUGCGGCCACCUUAUUGAUGAACCCGUCCACUUCCCCAGCCUAACUUUUCUUGGUCCUCUGUUACAUACCCUUGUUCCUCAGAUGUUGAUGACUCUAGGUGAUGCCCAUCUUCUACCUUGCUAGAAAUGGGUUUAGAUAUCAGAUCACAGUUGAUGAAACAGGCUCAUGCAACAAGCAAAAGGUCACAGAACAAAUCCGAGGGAAAGCCUGAACUAGAACCCAAAUCUGGGUAAGGGAAUAUUUUAAAAAUCAUCCUUUCCUCCUAAAGGAGUGCUUCUGAAUAUGGGUGGACCUCUCUUAUAUUAGCUAUCUGAAGCAUGUGAAUUUUUAUGUGGAGAGGAUCCAUAGCUUUUAUCAGAUUUUCAAUCUGAUUCAUAAUCCAAAAAACUGGAGGCGAAUGGCCCAACCAAGAGGAACCUUAAGAGACAUGACAAUUAAGUGUAAUGUGAACAACUAACAUGACACAUUAACAUGAUUCUAACAUGACAAUUGGCAGAACAAUUAAAUAUAAUUUUUCAGUAAGGAGUGGUGAAGAAUGCCUGUAAUCCCAGAGACUAGGGAGGCUCGGGCAGGAGGACUGCAAGUUCAAGGCCCUAAGCAACUUAGUAAGACCCUGUCUCAAAAUAAAAAAUAAAAAGGACUGGGGUGUGGCUCCGUG
rnacentral:lncRNA from 1 species